ACUGAACGCUGGCGGAAUGCUUUACACAUGCAAGUCGAACGGCAGCACGGACUUCGGUCUGGUGGCGAGUGGCGAACGGGUGAGUAAUGUAUUGGAACGUGCCCAGUCGUGGGGGAUAACGUAGUGAAAAUUACGCUAAUACCGCAUACGAUCUAUGGAUGAAAGCGGGGGAUCGCAAGACCUCGCGCGAUUGGAGCGGCCGAUAUCAGAUUAGGUAGUUGGUGGGGUAAAGGCCCACCAAGCCAACGAUCUGUAGCUGGUCUGAGAGGACGACCAGCCACACUGGAACUGAGACCCGGUCCAGACUCCUACGGGAGGCAGCAGUGGGGAAUUUUGGACAAUGGGCGAAAGCCUGAUCCAGCCAUUCCGCGUGCAGGAUGAAGGCCCUCGGGUUGUAAACUGCUUUUGUACAGAACGAAAAGGUUUCUACUAAUACUAGGAGCUCAUGACGGUACUGUAAGAAUAAGCACCGGCUAACUACGUGCCAGCCGCCGCCGUAA
rnacentral:rRNA from 1 species